GCCAGUCUGGGUAAAGCAGUGGUAGAACAUUGUUAUGUUACGCUGGCCGCUCCAGGGCCUAAUGUCUCCAUGACGUCACUCCCUGGUCAGCUCAUCAGGAAAUGCUUCUAGCCGACCAGCAGGUGCCCGCGAAGGUCCUGGGGCGAUGGCGUUUAGGAGGACAUUGGACCGGCUGAUGAGGCUGUGACACACAGUCAACCCCCCGAUAAUUCCCAUUUCAACCGGCCCUCAGGGGCCCGAUGUCCCUCAGUGGGUGAACGAUGUUCCCUUCUCACCUUAUCUGCUCCCUUCUCUCCUUAUCACCACAAAAUGAAACAUUACUCAUUCGUUUCAUUUAUCUUCCCUCUUUCCUAAGGAUCUUGCUUUGGUUUGCAUGCAUUCUACAGCUGGCCGUGGUGAUGGAGGGGAUAUUUAUAGCCCAACGUGUAGUCCAACGGUUGACUGGGAACGAUUAGCUUGUAUUCAACGUGAAGAAAAACGGAGGAGGAUUCUGUCAACCCCAGAUAUCAGAGAUGUGUCAUCCAUUUGUGACUGCUUUAACCAGAAUAGAACGACUGCAGUGUAAACACAGACAAGAGAAUCUGAGAUGGCUCACGUCAUCUUAUGGAAAACGUGUCUCUUUCCAGACCCUUAAGAAUACCUUGUCAUGUUGGUGGUCUACCUCGGGGUCACCAGACUGUGAUCCUGUUGAAUGUGCAUGUUCUCACCGCCUUCAUCCCCAGAUGGCUCGGGAGUGCACGGACAAGGGAUGUUGAGUAGCCGAUGAUAGAUACCAGACUCCGCAAUCUGCCUCGGAAAAAUACAAGCAUUCCAGGAUCUUAUUUUAGAAACCCAGUGAAGUGGAAGCGAAAGCGAAAGACGUGUGUGCGGCGGGCAACGAGCUGAUGGAAAGGGGAGAAUUGGAUUGUCAUACGUUUUGCAUCUCAAUAUUUAGAUCUUAAUGAGACAGCUUGAAAUUACCAUCACAUGUAAUUACGUUUCAAACAAUAAACGUCACAUUGCAUCUGUCGCGAUGACCGUCGGUCAGAUAUUUGCAAGGGUAAGAAAUCAGCAGGCCUCAUUCAUAAUAUUACAUUCGGAAUAGAUCAAGCAAAUAGGGAAUAAGUAUAAUAGCGGCUAUGUUUCCUGCAAUAAACUCACUUCCUGUUAUAUUAUGUUGCAUGAGCUAUUAUUUUUUUCAAAUCCUUAUCUAAUUUACGGGAGCCCUUUAUCACUGUUUGGUUGAUGAUAGUCAUAAAAUAGGAGUCUAAAAGGAGCCGAUUCAAAGAGUAGCA
ensembl:lncRNA